rnacentral:lncRNA from 1 species
CAGAGCGCGUUUCCCAGGUCGCGUUUCCCAGAGCGCGUUUCCCCGCUCCCAGAGCGCGUUUCCCAGAGCGCGUUUCCCAGGUCGCGUUUCCCAGAGCGCGUUUUCCAGAGCGCACACUAGACGCUCUGGGCGGAGGAGUAGCGUUCUGACCUCCCAUUAACUGUCAAAGACUCAAAGCUAACUGGCUAAAAGUCGGCUAGAUUACUAGCAACUUCCAGGCACAUCAUGAGAGAACACCUCAUUGUGAUCAUUUCUCUCACCCUAAAGCCGGUUAGUAUGUUUUCAUGUUAUCUAUUAGUGACUGGUAACUGUGCUGCUGGCAACAAUUUAUGAACUAAGUUAUUUUUCAGAGUGUUGUGAAAUCAGAGUAAAUUUACGUAACACAGCCAAUGUGAAUGUAAAGAGGAGAUGUUGAAUGAAUUAAUGGUCCAGCGCUGUCAAACCACUUAAUUUGUUUAUGUUUUACACUAUUUACAGAAUAUCUCCACAUUAUGAGGUUUGGAAUAGUCUUGUGAAAUGAUGAUAAUGUCGUUUUAGUGUAGCUUAGAGCUGUUUGAAAAGACCACCUGAAAUUUCAGCCUGUUUUAGUGGGAUUGGAGCUUUCGCCUGCCUGGUGAUAUCACCAGGUGGUAAAUUAGUUAAAUAGACCAAUAAACAGAGUUUCAAACCUGUCUGCCAAUAACAGUUAGUUUUCAGUUUUCUCUCACUCACUCUGGAGGAGAUGGCCUCCUUUUGCGGUCACUGGCGGUUAGCUGCUGGCCUCACUUCACGCUAAUGCUCAGCCAUCUGUUCAGGAUCCAACGGGCCGAGGCUGGAUGAGAUCUCUCUGAUGGUGGAGAGGGAGUUCCAGACUUUGACGUCACAGACAGAGAAAGAUCGACAUGACCUCUCCGUCUCCUCUCAGCGCCCUGACGAUGUCCGGUGUGACGACUGUUCCCAUGGCGAUGACCCCAUAUGGGAGACACAGGUGGAGAAGAAGAAGGAGGAGGAAAAGGUGAACCCAGAGGAGGAGCAAAGGAGGGACAUUGCCAAGUACCUCAGGGGCCUCCUGAUCCCAGGGCAGGAGGGUAGAGGGGAGGACAGUUCCAUCAUGGUGGAACCUCUCCAUAUUCCUAACCCUUACCUGUUGGACUCCAUCCUGCUGAACCCUGACCUCGGUGCUAACCUCUCCCAUUUAGUUCCUGACUUGCUCCCUGAUCUCUCAUCCCUGCUCCCCAACCUGGCCCCCAACCUGGCCCCCAGCCUGCUCCCCAACCUGGCCCCCGACCUGGCCCCCAGCCUGCU